AUUGAACGCUGGCGGCAUGCCUUACACAUGCAAGUCGAACGGCAGCGGACCUUCGGGUGCCGGCGAGUGGCGAACGGGUGAGUAAUAUAUCGGAACGUACCUUUCAGUGGGGGAUAACGUAGCGAAAGUUACGCUAAUACCGCAUAUUCUGUGAGCAGGAAAGCAGGGGAUCGCAAGACCUUGCGCUGAUUGAGCGGCCGAUAUCAGAUUAGCUAGUUGGUGAGGUAAAGGCUCACCAAGGCGACGAUCUGUAGCGGGUCUGAGGGGAUGAUCCGCCACACUGGAACUGAGACACGGUCCAGACUCCUACGGGAAGCAGCAGUGGGGAAUUUUGGACAAUGGGCGCAAGCCUGAUCCAGCCAUGCCGCGUGAGUGAAGAAGGCCUCGG
rnacentral:rRNA from 1 species